rnacentral:lncRNA from 1 species
UCCCUUGAUCUGUAGGCUCCCAAAUGCCAGAGUAUCAAAUAUAUAGAAAAUAGGAAGAUAUGGUUAAUAUAAUUGACCCUGUGAUGAAUGAAUGCCACAUAGACAAAAACAGAAUCUAAGAAAACAGAAUUAGAACGAGAACACUCGUCUAAGAAUCUCUACUUUAACAAUAACUGUCUUUCCGUUUCCCACAGGCGAUUGUAGUUGUCAUGAGGCACAGGUAUCCUGAGGUGUCACUAGCAGAGGCUGGUGAAGUGAGCCUACUGGGACAAGUGCACAGCGAGCACGCUGGACUUCGGGACCCUCACCAGCGUCCUCUGCAUGGCUGACAUGCCUGGAACUUCAAUGAUCGUGAUGCUCUUGGUAAAGAAUCGAUAGAGGUGGUUCCUUCAGCAAAGGUGGAUAAAAUGAGAAAUGUUGAUGGCAGGACACCAGCAUACCAAGGCCAUUUCAGAAAAGCUGUGAUGCAAUAAAUUUCAGGGUGAGAAAAUAAACAAUUUUCAUCAGCAGAAAAUGUCCCAGCAAGGAGUUUUAGCAAUCUCUCCAGCUGCUGAAAUGAUACAGAAAAUAAAUGGAACACUGAUUUCUCUAAAUUGUUUUCCUGAGGCACUAAUCAUCAGAAACCACAGACAAGCCACCAAGGACCGUCAUGCAUAAAUAGACUCAAUGUUGAUUGCUUUUAUUGUUGUUUACAUCUGCUUGGCUCAUUAUUUGUUCAUUUUCUUUGAUUUGUUGCCAAAUCUUUAUCAGAUUUUAUAAAAGCACUCAUAAAAUUAUUAAUAAAACAUCUAUUUGUUUAUUUUGACUUAACUGA